GAUGAACGCUGGCGGCGUGCCUAAUACAUGCAAGUCGAGCGAACGGACGAGAAGCUUGCUUCUCUGAUGUUAGCGGCGGACGGGUGAGUAACACGUGGAUAACCUACCUAUAAGACUGGGAUAACUUCGGGAAACCGGAGCUAAUACCGGAUAAUAUUUUGAACCGCAUGGUUCAAAAGUGAAAGACGGUCUUGCUGUCACUUAUAGAUGGAUCCGCGCUGCAUUAGCUAGAUGGUAAGGUAACGGCUUACCAAGGCAACGAUGCAAAGCCGACCUGAGAGGGUGAUCGGCCACACUGGAACUGAGACACGGUCCAGACUCCUACGGGAGGCAGCAGUAGGGAAUCUUCCGCAAUGGGCGAAAGCCUGACGGAGCAACGCCGCGUGAGUGAUGAAGGUCUUCGGAUCGUAAAACUCUGUUAUUAGGGAAGAACAUAUGUGUAAGUAACUGUGCACAUCUUGACGGUACCUAAUCAGAAAGCCACGGCUAACUACGUG
rnacentral:rRNA from 1 species